AGAGUUUGAUCAUGGCUCAGGACGAACGCUGGCGGCGUGCUUAAUGCAUGCAAGUCGAACGAGGCCCCAUUGACGGGUAACCGUCUCGGGGUCCUAGUGGCGAACGGGUGAGUAACACGUGAGGAACCUGCCCCGGAGUCCGGGAUAGCCCAGGGAAACCUGGAUUAAUACCGGAUACCCUCGACCGGUCGCAUGUCGGGUCGAGGAAAGGUCCGCUGCUCUGGGAUGGCCUCGCGGCCUAUCAGCUAGUUGGUGAGGUAACGGCUCACCAAGGCAACGACGGGUAGCUGGUCUGAGAGGACGUACAGCCACACUGGGACUGAGACACGGCCCAGACUCCUACGGGAGGCAGCAGCAGGGAAUAUUGCACAAUGGGCGAAAGCCUGAUGCAGCGACGCCGCGUGAGGGAUGAAGGCCUCCGGGUCGUAAACCUCUUUCAGGAGGGAAGAAGCGAAAGUGACGGUACCUCCAGAAGAAGCCCCGGCCAACUACGUGCCAGCAGCCGCGGUAAUACGUAGGGGGCGAGCGUUGUCCGGAUUCAUUGGGCGUAAAGAGCUCGUAGGCGGCUCAGUAAGUCGGCCGUGAAAUCCCGGAGCUCAACUCCGGGAGGCCGGUCGAUACUGCUGUGGCUAGGGUCCGGUAGAGGAGAGUGGAAUUCCCGGUGUAGCGGUGAAAUGCGCAGAUAUCGGGAGGAACACCAGUAGCGAAGGC
rnacentral:rRNA from 1 species